GAUAAACGCUAGCGGCAGGCCUAACACAUGCAAGUCGAGGGGCAGCGGAUAGAGUAGCUUGCUACUCUUGCCGGCGACCGGCGCACGGGUGCGUAACGCGUAUGCAAUCUACCUUUAACAGGGGGAUAAUCCGAAGAAAUUUGGUCUAAUACCCCAUAACAUCAACCGAGGCAUCUCGGUUGGUUAAAAACUCCGGUGGUUAAAGAUGAGCAUGCGUUGUAUUAGCUAGUUGGUGGAGUAACGGUUCACCAAGGCUACGAUACAUAGGGGGACUGAGAGGUUUUCCCCCCACACUGGUACUGAGACACGGACCAGACUCCUACGGGAGGCAGCAGUGAGGAAUAUUGGUCAAUGGACGCAAGUCUGAACCAGCCAUGCCGCGUGCAGGAUGACGGCUCUAUGAGUUGUAAACUGCUUUUGUACGAGGGUAAGGAUGUCUACGUGUAGGCAUUUGAAAGUAUCGUACGAAUAAGGAUCGGCUAACUCCGUGCCAGCAGCCGCAGUAAUAC
rnacentral:rRNA from 1 species